AGCGAACGCUGGCGGCGUGCCUAACACAUGCAAGUCGAACGUGAAAGGGAGCAAUCCCAAGUAAAGUGGCGUACGGGUGAGUAACACGUAGGUAAUCUACCCCAGAAUCUGGAAUAACCGGCCGAAAGGCUGGCUAAUACUGGAUAGAGCGACGGAAUCCGUAAUUGGGUUUUUCGGGAAAGGGAGCCUGUAAAAAGGCCUUCGUUCUGGGAUGAGCCUGCGUCCCAUCAGCUAGUUGGUGAGGUAAAAGCUUACCAAGGCAAUGACGGGUAGCUGGUCUGAGAGGACGAUCAGCCACACUGGAACUGAAACACGGCCCAGACUCCUACGGGAGGCAGCAGUGGGGAAUCUUGCGCAAUGGACGAAAGUCUGACGCAGCAACGCCGCGUGAGUGAAGAAGGCCUUCGGGUCGUAAAGCUCUGUCGAGUGGGACGAAAAUGCUUGGAGUUCACAGCUCCAGGAACUGACGGUACCACUAAAGGAAGCACCGGCUAACUCCGUG
rnacentral:rRNA from 1 species